rnacentral:rRNA from 1 species
AGAACGAACGCUGGCGGCAGGCCUAACACAUGCAAGUCGAACGAUAAGCCACCUUCGGGUGGUGGACAGUGGCAGACGGGUGAGUAACGCGUGGGAACGUGCCUUUCGGUUCGGAAUAACCCAGGGAAACUUGGGCUAAUACCGGAUACGCCCUUCGGGGGAAAGAUUCAUUGCCGAAAGAUCGGCCCGCGUCGGAUUAGCUAGUUGGUGGGGUAAUGGCUCACCAAGGCGACGAUCCGUAGCU